rnacentral:SRP_RNA from 1 species
GCCAGAUGCAGUGGUGCGCACCUGUAGUCCCAGCUACUAAGGAGGCUGAGGUGGGAGGAUCGCUUGAGCCCAGGAGCUCUGGGCUGUAAUAUACUAUGCUGAUUGGGUGUCCGCACUAAGUUCGGCAUGAAUAUGGUGACCUCCGGGGAGCCGGGAACCACCAGGUUGCUUAAGGAGGGGUGAACAGGCCCAGGUCAGAAACAGAGCAGGUCAAAACUCCCAUGCUGAUCAGUAGUGGGAUCACACCUGUGAAUAGCCACUGCACUCCAGUCUGGGCAACAUAGUGAGACCCCAUCUCU